rnacentral:sRNA from 1 species
AAAAAAGCACAAAAAA